rnacentral:rRNA from 1 species
AAUAUUGGACAAUGGGGGCAACCCUGAUCCAGCCAUGCCGCGUGUGUGAAGAAGGUCUUCGGAUUGUAAAGCACUUAAGGUGGGGAGGAAGGGCUUUAGGUAAUAACCCGGAGGUUUGAACGUUACAAACGAAAUAAGCACGGGCAACUUCUGUGCCGGCAGCCGCGGUAAUACAGAGGGUGCAAGCGUUAAUCGGAAUUACUGGGCGUAAAGCGCGCGUAGGUGGUUCAGUAAGAUGGGUGUGAAAUCCCCGGGCUUAACCUGGGAACUGCUUUCAUAACUGCUGAGCUAGAGUAUGGUAGAGGGUAGUGGAAUUUCCUGUGUAGCGGUGAAAUGCGUAGAUAUAGGAAGGAACACCAGUGGCGAAGGCGACUACCUGGACUGAUACUGACACUGAGGUGCGAAAGCGUGGGGAGCAAAC